CUUACCGCAUAGUCGGCAAUAAAGGGCCCGAAUUGACAAAUAUCAAACAGUUCAAACAAGAAUGUGGCGAGGUUAAACAUGUCAGCAGGAGCCCACCCCUCCCCUUACAUCGGACAUUGGUGUAUAUAAAAAGAAGAUGUGGUAUGAUUGCCAAUGGAAUAACUCUUCACAAGAGACCAAAAUGACACAGAUAUUUACAACUA
rnacentral:lncRNA from 1 species